rnacentral:rRNA from 1 species
GAUGAACGCUGGCGGCGUGCCUAAUACAUGCGAGUCGAGCGAACAGACGAGGAGCUUGCUCCUCUGACGUUAGCGGCGGACGGGUGAGUAACACGUGGAUAACCUACCUAUAAGACUGGGAUAACUUCGGGAAACCGGAGCUAAUACCGGAUAAUAUAUUGAACCGCAUGGUUCAAUAGUGAAAUACGGUUUUGCUGUCACUUAUAGAUGGAUCCGCGCCGCAUUAGCUAGUUGGUAAGGUAACGGCUUACCAAGGCAACGAUGCGUAGCCGACCUGAGAGGGUGAUCGGCCACACUGGAACUGAGACACGGUCCAGACUCCUACGGGAGGCAGCAGUAGGGAAUCUUCCGCAAUGGGCGAAAGCUUGACGGAGCAACGCCGCGUGAGUGAUGAAGGUCUUCGGAUCGUAAAACUCUGUUAUUAGGGAAGAACAAAUGUGUAAGUAACUAUGCACGUCUUGACGGUACCUAAUCAGAAAGCCACGGCUAACUACGUG